rnacentral:rRNA from 1 species
UAAUUGAAGAGUUUGAUCAUGGCUCAGAUUGAACGCUGGCGGCAGGCCUAACACAUGCAAGUCGAGCGGUAACAGGAGAAAGCUUGCUUUCUUGCUGACGAGCGGCGGACGGGUGAGUAAUGUAUGGGGAUCUGCCCGAUAGAGGGGGAUAACUACUGGAAACGGUGGCUAAUACCGCAUAAUGUCUACGGACCAAAGCAGGGGCUCUUCGGACCUUGCACUAUCGGAUGAACCCAUAUGGGAUUAGCUAGUAGGUGGGGUAAAGGCUCACCUAGGCGACGAUCUCUAGCUGGUCUG